rnacentral:rRNA from 1 species
UACGGAGGGGGCAAGCGUUGUUCGGAAUUACUGGGCGUAAAGGGCGCGCAGGCGGCUGCUCAAGUCAGGCGUGAAAGGCCUGGGCCCAACCCGGGAAUUGCGCUUGAGACUGGGCUGGCUUGAGUGCGGGAGAGGAUGGUGGAAUUCCCAGUGUAGAGGUGAAAUUCGUAGAUAUUGGGAAGAACACCGGUGGCGAAGGCGGCCAUCUGGACCGCAACUGACGCUGAGGCGCGAAAGCGUGGGGAGCAAACAGG